rnacentral:lncRNA from 1 species
UGACUCGAGCCGAGCGCCGGGGGGGCGGGGUGCAGCGGCGCCGCGGGAGGAGCUGGGCGCGGAGCGCGGCCCCUUCCCUGCGGGCGCGCGGCCAGGUUACAGCCACGCUCAGGAGCCUCUUGGGAAAAGCCCAAAAGUCCCCAUUUUGCAGAAAGCCUGCUGGGAUGUGGUGGGACCCCGCGGCGAGAGAAACCCCGGGAGGCCUCGAAAGCCCUGGCUUCCAGGGCCCCACCCUGCCUGGGCAAGGCCUCCCGCGCUCCGGGGCCCGCACUUCCGGCCCCCGCGGGUUCCCUGACCUGCGCUACCGGGCACUUCCGCCGCCAGACACGUGGCCCCGGGGCCUGGAGGAGGCUGCUGGAAGGCCCGGCUCUAGCAGUUGGGGCCUUCACCUGUCCCCGUUAUUUCGUCGCAAGCCCCUGUGGGAAGUGGUGCCGAGGAGGGCCAGAGGGCCUUCACCAGUUUCUGUACUUAGGAGGCAUGGCCUGCAACAAAUGUCGAAAGAAUUACUGAGUGAAUCUGCUGCCUCUUUGGGCAUAUGGUGUGGGAAUUACAUUGAAAUGAUAAAAUCAACAGUGAUCCUUGAAAGGAGCAAGAGCCACAGUACUCCUGAAAGGUUUCUCACUGGCCAGCACUAUGAAGGUUGAUGGCAUCAUCAUUCACUCCACAUCAAAGGAUAUCUACUCAUCAGUGUGCUGUUGUCAGUCAGAGGUUUCCAAAUAUGUGUUCCCCAACUCAAAGAAAAGUAGCUGGAUCCAGGCAGAAAGGUGUCUGGGAACUCCUUUACUGUGCAGGGUGUGUCUCCAGAGAAAGCUGCUUCAGCAUUCUUCUCGAUCUUUGUUUUCGGAAUACUUUUCCCUACAGUAUUCUCCAGACUCUAAAAUACUAGAAUAGUUCCCAAGUUCAUCCAGAUCUUUCCCAUGGUUGAAUUCUUGGUCCUUUUUCCACCCCCUGGCUUACAUGUAGAUGAAAAAUAAACAACAAUAAAGGAAUAAAAAUUGUUUGUUU